ACCAAGAUGAAGGCGGUGAAACGCUUCUUCGAGGAUGGCGACAAGGUCAAAUUCGUGCUGCGCUUCCGCGGCCGCGAAAUGGCCCACCAGGAUCUCGGUUUCAAGGUGCUCGAACGCGUCAAGAUCGAAACCGCGGCGAUCGCCAAGAUCGAACUGGAGCCUUCCCUCGACGGCCGCCAGAUGAUCAUGGUGUUGGCGCCCAAAUAAAGUUUGCUCGCGGCGCAACUUAACUUCAUUCUCCCGCUUGGAAUCGCAAGCGGGAGAACGGAAUGACCGAAGCGCAGCCGGCGACGA
rnacentral:misc_RNA from 1 species